rnacentral:rRNA from 1 species
GAUGAACGCUAGCGGCAGGCUUAACACAUGCAAGUCGAGGGGUAGAGGUUGCUUGCAACCUUGAGACCGGCGCACGGGUGCGUAACGCGUAUGCAACCUACCUUUUACAGAGGGAUAGCCCAGAGAAAUUUGGAUUAAUACCUCAUAGUAUAUAACCUUCGCAUGUUGGUUAUAUUAAAGUUCCAACGGUAAAAGAUGGGCAUGCGUCCUAUUAGCUAGAUGGUAAGGUAACGGCUUACCAUGGCAACGAUAGGUAGGGGUCCUGAGAGGGAGAUCCCCCACACUGGUACUGAGACACGGACCAGACUCCGACGGGAGGCAGCAGUGAGGAAUAUUGGACAAUGGGCGCAAGCCUGAUCCAGCCAUGCCGCGUGCAGGAAGAAGCAUCUAUGGUGUGUAAACUGCUUUUGUACAGGAAGAAACACCCCGACGUGUCGGGGCUUGACGGUACUGUAAGAAUAAGGAUCGGCUAACUCCGUGCCAGCCGCCGCCGUAAAAC